rnacentral:rRNA from 1 species
CAGUAGCCGCGGUAAUACGAAGGGGACUAGCGUUGCUCGGAAUCACUGGGCGUAAAGGGUGCGUAGGCGGGUCUUUAAGUCAGGGGUGAAAUCCUGGAGCUCAACUCCAGAACUGCCUUUGAUACUGAAGAUCUUGAGUUCGGGAGAGGUGAGUGGAACUGCGAGUGUAGAGGUGAAAUUCGUAGAUAUUCGCAAGAACACCAGUGGCGAAGGCGGCUCACUGGCCCGAUACUGACGCUGAGGCACGAAAGCGUGGGGAGCAAACAGGAUUAGAUACCCCAGUAGUCCCUGUCUCUUAUAA